UCGCAGGGGUAGCUUUUACCCCAAAGGCUCAUACACAGGUGCAGGAAGUGCUGUCCAGAAGUGGUUGGUUCCGGUCCAAGCUUAUAGCGAGUGACUAGACAGAGCAGUUCUACUGACUUCUGCUGUGAUUGGUUUCCAAGGGUACAGAGCACAACAGAAUAUGCGAUCAAUUUUGGCAUUAGCAAGUUACUUAGUAACAGCAGAAACAUGCGAGGAAGUUUCCUUACUAUGGCAGGCGAGCCAGAAUGGACCAAGAAACACAGCCUCCCUUUUUGUGUCUCCCUCUUUCCAGCAGCACGAGGUCCCACCUCUUCCAGGAAGUCUGUUCUUUACACUCCGCUCUCCAGCUCCCUGCAGACCCCGUGCUCCCCCACACCUCCGACGACACCUCCAUGCCUCUGCUAAUGCUGUUCUCCCACCAGGAAUGCUUUUGUCUGUCCUUCUUGGCUGAGACCCCUGGAGUUGCUGUACUCCCAGGACAAGGUGACGGUGCUCCUCCUUGCCUCUCAAAGAAACGUUCACGAUUACAACUA